GUAGUUAGCCGGGGCUUCCUCCUUGGCUACCGUCAUUUGUUUCGUCACCAAGGACAGAGGUUUACAACCCGAAAGCCUUCUUCCCUCACGCGGCGUUGCUGGGUCAGGCUUGCGCCCAUUGCCCAAUAUUCCCCACUGCUGCCUCCCGUAGGAGUCUGGACCGUGUCUCAGUUCCAGUGUGGCCGAUCAGCCUCUCAGCUCGGCUACCCAUCGUCGACUUGGUGGGCCGUUACCCCGCCAACUAUCUAAUGGGACGCGAACCCCUCUUUCAGCGGAUUGCUCCUUUGACCUCAUCCCGAUGCCGGGUCGUGGUCUUAUGCGGUAUUAGCACUUGUUUCCAGGUGUUAUCCCCCUCUGAAAGGCAGGUUGUUCACGCGUUACUCACCCGUUCGCCACUAAAAUGUCAACCGAAAUCAACAUCUCCGUUCGACUUGCAUGUGUUAGGCACGCCGCCAGCGUUCGUCCUGAGCAGAUACAACUACUGA
rnacentral:rRNA from 1 species